rnacentral:piRNA from 1 species
UAAAGAUAGACUGAAGCGGAGCUCCCACCC